AUUGAACGCUGGCGGCAGGCCUAACACAUGCAAGUCGAGCGGGGUUUUCGGACCUAGCGGCGGACGGGUGAGUAAUGCGUAGGAAGCUGCCCGAUAGAAGGGGAUACCAGUUGGAAACGACUGUUAAUACCGCAUAAUGUCUACGGACCAAAGUGUGGGACCUUCGGGCCACAUGCUAUCGGAUGCGCCUACGUGGGAUUAGCUAGUUGGUGAGGUAAUGGCUCACCAAGGCGACGAUCUCUAGCUGGUUUGAGAGGAUGAUCAGCCACACUGGAACUGAGACACGAUCCAGACUCCUACGGGAGGCAGCGGUGGGGAAUAUUGGACAAUGGGCGCAAGCCUGAUCCAGCCAUGCCGCGUGUGUGAAGAAGGCCUUCGGGUUGUAAAGCACUUUCAGCGAGGAGGAAGGGUGGUGUGUUAAUAGCACAUCAUUUUGACGUUACUCGCAGAAGAAGCACCGGCUAACUCUGUGCCAGCCGCCGCCGUAACAC
rnacentral:rRNA from 1 species